GAUGAAGAACGCAGCGAAAUGCGAUACGUAAUGUGAAUUGCAGAAUUCAGUGAAUCAUCGAGUCUUUGAACGCACAUUGCGCCCCCUGGUAUUCCGGGGGGCAUGCCUGUCCGAGCGUCAUUGCUGCCCUCAAGCACGGCUUGUGUGUUGGGCUUCCGUCCCUGGCAACGGGGACGGGCCCAAAAGGCAGUGGCGGCACCAUGUCUGGUCCUCGAGCGUAUGGGGCUUUGUCACCCGCUCCCGUAGGUCCAGCUGGCAGCUAGCCUCGCAACCAAUCUUUUUAACCAGGUUGACCUCGGAUCAGGUAGGGAUACCCGCUGAACUUAAGCAUAUCAAUAAGCGGAGGA
rnacentral:misc_RNA from 1 species